UGAAAUGUCUAUAUUAAGGUUUCAAUUCACUGAAGAUUGCAAGAGAGGAGCAGUUCGCUAAAAUGGCGAUAGGAUUCCUGAUUUUGACCGGCCUGCUGGCCUUCGGCACGUACUGGACCACCAGGUACCUGAUCUCGGCGGCGGAGCAGAGCACUACCACCUCUACUACUGUCACGCCAAACGACGAAAGUAUACUACGCUUGAUGUUUAAUAAGUCUGGUUGACAUCGACAUCAGCUGUCCCGCUUCAACUUGCAUACUUCGGACUCGCGAGGAAGGCAUUUAUCGUUGCAACAUAUUAAUGCUUAAAUAUUUAGUGAAAUUGUAUUUAUUAGGUUCUUUUUUAUUUACUUAAUUUUGAUUUCAACCGGAUGCAAGACGAAAUGCCUGCUUUUUUUGAUGUUUCAUAUUUGCAACAUGUUUCCAGUCAUAGGAGAGUGACAACUUUAAACAUCUCAUCUUGAUUUGACUUUCAGUGCGUUUCGCUCAAACUCAUACAUAAGCAAGUUGCAAAAAAUCAAUCUCUAACUACCUAGGAACAUUUUUGUUCAUCCAAUCCCUUUCUCCGAUGUACCUUAUGGUAACUCCGCCAAGUUUAAACAUUCUAACUAAUCAUAUCUGAAAAACCUUGAACAUAUUUUUAUUUUUUAUAUGCUUAAUUGAUCUGAAAAUUAUGCGUGAAAAUAAGAAUGAAACUUGUCA